AGUUUGUAGCCAUUUUCCCAUAUAUCCCCAAGGUAUUUAGUGCAAAGGGUCAAGGGAUGUACCUUGUUCUCCCUUCAAAAUGACAAAUGUAUCCGCAACAGAUGUCUCUUGUAUCCCCCUUCCCCAAAAUAAUAUAUGUAUCCUGUGUAAUCUAUUAUCUAUAGGUCAGCAUA